rnacentral:rRNA from 1 species
AUUGAACGCUGGCGGCAGGCCUAACACAUGCAAGUCGAACGAGUGGCGGAAGGGUGAGUAAUGGCUGGGAAACUGGCCGAUGGAGGGGGAUAACUACUGGAAACGGUAGCUAAUAACGCAUACCAUCGGAUGUGCCCAGAGGGGAUUCGCUAGUAGGUGGGGUACAGGCUAACCUAGGCGACGAUCCCUAGCUGGUCUGAGAGGAUGACCAACCACACUGGAACUGAGAGCCGGUCCAGACUCCUACGGGAGGCAGCAGUGGUGAAUAUUGCACAAUGGGCGCACGCCUGAUGCAGCCAUGCCGCGUGUAUGACGAAGGCCUUCGGGUUGUAAAGUACUUUCAGCGGGGAGGCGUUACCCGCAGAAGAAGCACCGGCUAACUCCGUGCCAGCAGCCGCGGUAAGAC